ensembl:lncRNA
GUCAUUGGAGUCAUUAAGGGUACGUAACUAGGGUACAUAACUAGGGUAUUGGAGUCAUUAAGGGUACGUAACUGGGGUAUUGGAGUCAUUAAGAGUACAUAACUACGGUAUUGGGAGUAAUUAAGGGUACAUAACUAGGGUAUUGGAGUCAUUAAGGGAUAUGUAACUAGGGUAUUGGAGUAAUUAAGGGUACGUAACUAGGGUAUUGGAGUCAUUAAGGGUACUCAUUAAGGGUACGUAACUAGGGUAUUGGAGUCAUUAAGGGUACGUAACUAGGGUAUUGGAGUAAUUAAGGGUACGUAACUAGGGUAUUGGAGUAGUUAAGGGAACGUAACUAGGGUAUUGGAGUAAUUAAGGGUACAUAACUAGGGUAUUGAAGUCAUUGGAGUCAUUAAGGGUACGUAACUUGGGUAUUGGAGUAAUUAAGGGUACAUAACUAGGGUAUUGGAGUCAUUGGAGUCAUUAAGGGUACGUAACUAGGGUACAUAACUAGGGUAUUGGAGUCAUUAAGGGUACGUAAC